AUGGGGGCGAGAGGGGAGAAAAGCGGACGGAGCAACCGCGCCCUCUCUCAUCUGCGCCCACUCAGGGCACGGAGGACAGACGGGCCCACGUGGCUGGCUCCACACACCAGCCCGGGUCUGGUCUGGGCCACGAGCGCACGACUGGGAACUGGCCCAUCCAGGACACUGGGUCAGAUUCUCCUGGUGGCCCGCCGCACUACAAGGCAGACAACUCCCCAGCUGCCUGGGGGCACGGCACGGGUCCAGAACACGCUCGUGCCAGCGUCAGAGGGCACAUCGAGGACUUGUCCUCAGGCAGCGGCCACGCCUCCUGGACGCUGUCCCGGGAGCUCGGAGACCAGCCAACGCCAAGAGGAAGGCAAGGACGUCUCAGGAGAGGCAGAGGCACAGAGCACCACCCUCGCGGAGCCCAGCGUGCCCGCGCCUAAGUCCGCUGCGCACACUGGGCCACCAGGGGCAGUGGGGCACUCCACGCCGGGUCCCAUGAGGCUUCUGCACUCGCAGCCUCCGUGGCCACGCCAGGCAUGCGGGCUGGGAGUGCUGCACCAGACCCCCGGGGUGGGUCAUGGCGGGAGCAGACGUGGGGGGCGGGGAAGCCUACGCCCCUCCCGCACGGGUCAGCAGACCACCACGCAGAGAAACGGACAACCUGCGGACAGGCCCAGGCAGCGUGCAGCCAACCAGAGCACCCGGGAGGACACACGGCCCCGUCUCGGAGCGCCUGACUCGCACCGCGGCCCCUCUCUCCCCAGGGAGCACAUCCUUCCCGGGCAGAGCCCCGAGGACGUCCCCGCAGCUCCAGAGCACAGGCCAGCGUUUCGGGACAAGGAAUCGCAUGGCGACACCUUCCCGGUCCCGGAGGCAAUAGGAAAGCCCGUUCUCGCUCAAGGAGCCCCGGCAACCCAGCGGGCUCCCAGGGGCAGAGGACACAAGGCACACGGGCCCCUACCGUGGUCGUGGUCGUGGUCGGGGUCGUGGUCGUGGUCGUGCUCGGGGUCGGGGUCGUGGUCAGCCUCCUCGGUGCUGGGAGUCAUGGUUCAGGUUCCCGGGUGCCGGGCUCGGCGUCUGCGGAAGAAGAGACAUCACGCACGUCUGCGGAAGAAGAAGAGACAUCACGCACUUGGCCUGAGUGAGGGUCUCUGCCGACAACACACCUGCUUCCACCUAGGAAACCAGGCAGAGCAAUGUUCUCCCGGCCCCACACCUCCCGACGCCUCAUGUGGGUGGGUGCCUAGGUCAGUGCGGAGACAGCACGGGCGCCUGCCUGCCUAG
rnacentral:lncRNA from 1 species